rnacentral:miRNA from 1 species
CAUUUCUAGCUAUAAAUUUAGUGUGUGUGUGUGUGUGUGUGUGUGUGUGUGUGUGUAUAUACACACACACACACACACACACACACACACACACAAAUAAA